rnacentral:rRNA from 1 species
GACGAACGCUGGCGGCGUGCCUAAUACAUGCAAGUAGAACGCACAGUUUAUACCGUAGCUUGCUACACCAUAGACUGUGAGUUGCGAACGGGUGAGUAACGCGUAGGUAACCUGCCUGGCAGCGGGGGAUAACUAUUGGAAACGAUAGAUAAUACCGCAUAAUAUUAAUUAUUGCUUGAUAAUUAAUUGAAAGGUGCAAUUGAACCACUACUAGAUGGACCUGCGUUGUAUUAGCUAGUAGGCGAGGUAACGGCUCACCUAGGCGACGAUACAUAGCCGACCCUGGAGGGUGAACGGCCACACUGGGACUGAGACACGGCCCAGACUCCUACGGGAGGCAGCAGGAGGGGAUCAUCGGCAAUAGACGAAAGGCUGACCGAGCAACGCCGCGGGAGGGAAGGAGGUUUUCGGAGCGGAAAGCUCUGUUGUUAGGGAAGAACGAGUGUGAGAGUGGAAAGUUCACGCUGUGACGGUAUCUUACCAGAAAGGGACGGCUAACUACGUG